ACAGCAUACCGUAAAGAUAUACGCUAUUGCUACAUGAAUUAACGUAUAUCACCACUGAUCUUACUGACUGUUUGUUAAUGUGCAAAAACAAAAUGUGAACACGUUCUAAAUCACCUGUUUCGAUUUGGCAACGUGAUAGUUCGUGUGACGUCACCUAUAUUCGUGAGUCUGUUCCAUGAAACUACUUCCUGUAGCAUAAUGGCUUAAAUCAGCCUUGUAUGGCUACAAAAGUGCAUCUAGUCCAUCUAAAUGCAUUGUAUAUUACUACACAGCCGUGACUCGAAGUAAAAUAACUUCUGUCACUGGUGGAGUGCAAUUUCCCCACGUUCCACCGACCGUAUCCUCGUGCGAGAGACUACUUCCGGUAUGACGUCACUUUGUUGACAGUUUGAUCGGUUGUAGAUUUUCUGAUACGAGAGUGAAAGCCGGUUCGAGCCGAGAUAUGCUUCUCCAGCAGUCAACAGGUGCCCUUUGCUGUAUCCCGACUGAAUGCUGAUGAUCUGUGCAGGCAGCAGCAGCAACAACAACAGCGAACAGCAAGCCAGCAUAAGUACAUUAGUAUCAAAUAUAUACAACAUGAAUGACUACAUAUAUCAAACAGAUUAAAAAGGUAUAAAGUGUACCUUGAUCGUUUAAAAAAGUUGAUCUGUUUAUCUCCAGCCAGAGAAUUUGAUUGCACGAUUUAAUCAUCAGCGUAACAUGAACCUCUCCCCAAACUACAGUCGGAGAUGAAGCCGAAAGACAGCCCUUUGAUGUUGCAGCAUUAAUAUCCAAUCUGACCACCAACACAUCGUAAACAGCACACAAUGUAAAUGCAUUGUCAGCAGUCUUCUAAUAUCUGUUACCAAAGAGCUGCCUUUCAAACAUCAGCAAGAUUAAACCUUACUCCAUCAUUCAAAUCUACAUCAAGAGGCAACUUUCUUCAUUCAAUCCUCUUUUGUCCAUUAUCAAUACGUUUCCUCGACAACUGUGUGACUCUUGUAUACAUACAUUCUUUCUAGAAAACUACAGAACACAUUUAUAUCAAAUCGCAUCCUUCUUCGGUCUUGCUCAGGGUCCAUGAUGUUGCGGUCAGCAUUUGAAGCAGGUGUUAUACAUGAUGUUGAUGAAGCUGGGUGGGUGAUGUGUUGCAGGGUUAACUUAAUGCAGUGUUGGACUCCGAUGGGUAAUCUCACCGCAUGAAGUAAUGACACCAUCAACCCUACCCUACAUAGAUCUGACUGACCUAGUUACUAGAUGAAGCAGAUGGACACUGGACAGCAAUGGCGUGACACAGCAUCAUGGACCGUGGACUGUAGUGGGAGAGGUUGAAGCUGCUUCAGGCAGAUACUGCCCAGUGGAAGGUAUCAUCAGUCAUCUCCUGUACCCACAAGGUCACAAGAUGUCAUUUCCGGUCUCUCAAAAGUCAUAAAGGUGUCAUCUAUGACGUCACUUCCGGUAUUGGUUCCGAUCGUGACGUCACUUAUUCCACUUGUGAUGUCACUUCAAGUCAAUAGGAAAGCCCGAAGUGAUUCAGGUUUUUAGAAGUUACCACUUUGGUGAAACCCACAAGCUCGGAUGUGCUGCUUACAAAUCUAGUAAACAUUACCAGGGCGAACCAGGAUUCAAACCCACGGCAAACUGCGGCACCUUAGACGACUGGGCACCCCGUGCCCCCACAGCACCAUGAUGUGACAGACACUGACAGCAUAUACUUACGCAUACACAUUAUGCUGCAGGUUUGGUGUUCCUGGCUCGGAGACCUGCUGUUGACUGGCUGGGGUACUGCCAUCUGACACACUUGGGGACAGCGACUCGUUAGACGUACUGUGGCGCCGAUGUUUACCAUCAGCCUCACCUAGAUAAUUCUGGAACACAUAACACAAACACUCCUUUCAUCACUCAAUAUGUCCACACUACCUAGUAAGUUGAAUGCUGACUUUCGUGGAACCUCGAUAGCCUGGAAAUAAUUUAGGGACAAUGUUGAACAUGAAACUCAUUAUUGCCGGACACUUGUUUAUCCAAGCCACUGAUUUCAGCAAGCAAGUCAUCUCUAUGAACACAGUAGGUAGAUUUACGUAGUCAGUAGUGAUGGGUAUUGGCCUUUUGUAUUGCCAUAAAUUGCAAUAAUGAUUCAUGUAUUGCGAUACAUACCACGAUAUAUUGCAUGCCUUCUUUCAUUUGUAAUUUGUAACAAAAUAAUAAAAAAGGUCACAUACAUCACACUUCCCCUGCAGUUUUUUGACAACUUUGUAGUAGUCCACCAUUUUGUUGGAUGUUACUCUGACCACAACACAAACGUAAUAGACAGAUCAUAUACAGGAGGCUGGUCGUGAAUAAAUUUGCUUCUUCGAUCACAGGAAUCAGAUGCUAAUUUCAUAAUUUCAACUGGAGUUGUCACUGAUGUACAUUUUGCCAACAAGAUGAAAAUAUGCAUGAUUUUGAAAAACCCAAUAUACACCAGUAUUUUCCAAACAUAUUGUCGGAAGUUUUCAUACGUAAUUCAAAUUGUGGUAUACUGGCAACACCUAUAGCCGUCAGACAGAGCAAGUAAGGUUUUGGGACAAUCCUUAAGAACUCUCCAGUAUAAUGUUAUAUGUUUACGGACCUACUGAUUGACAAGAGUGAUCUAACUGACGUGUCUGUGUGUCCACCUGCCCCCUGUGUCUGUACUUGGAAUCAUAUUGUUUAAAUGGCAUCAACGUGUUUUCACUCACCUCAAACUUUUGCAGAUCUUGCCGUAGAUCAUCUAUCUUUUGAGCAUUUUCUUCUAUUUUCUUAUCUAAGGUACUUGGAUCUCCUAGAGCCGGGUUGUUUGCAUAAACAUCUUUCAUCUUCAACAUGCCUUCCCUGUAACAGCAAGCCAUGGAUACAGUCAAACACUGUUGUGUUGAAGUUGAGAGACCUAUGUAAAUACUGAGGUUCCACACAACCCAAAAUGAUAAAUAAAGAAGGAACAUGCAGGGACAAUGCUUUAACUUCCAGACAACAACCGCACUCAGCAAUAUUCCAGCUAUAUGACGGCGAUCUGUAAAUAAUCAAGUCUGG
rnacentral:lncRNA from 1 species